GACACGGAGUUAGCCGGUGCUUCUUCUACAGGUACCGUCAUUAUCUUCCCUGUCGAAAGUGCUUUACAACCCGCAGGCCUUCUUCACACACGCGGUAUUGCUGCAUCAGGCUUUCGCCCAUUGUGCAAUAUUC
rnacentral:rRNA from 1 species